rnacentral:rRNA from 1 species
GGUUAAGCGACUAAGCGUACACGGUGGAUGCCCUGGCAGUCAGAGGCGAUGAAGGGCGUGCUAAUCUGCGAUAAGCGCCGGUAAGGUGAUAUGAACCGUUAUAACCGGCGAUACCCGAAUGGGGAAACCCAGUGUGACUCGUCACACUAUCAUUAACUGAAUCCAUAGGUUAAUGAGGCGAACCGGGGGAACUGAAACAUCUAAGUACCCCGAGGAAAAGAAAUCAACCGAGAUUCCCCCAGUAGCGGCGAGCGAACGGGGAGGAGCCCAGAGCCUGAAUCAGCAUGUGUGUUAGUGGAAGCGUCUGGAAAGGCGCGCGAUACAGGGUGACAGCCCCGUACACAAAAGCGCAUGUGCUGUGAGCUCGAUGAGUAGGGCGGGACACGUGGUAUCCUGUCUGAAUAUGGGGGGACCAUCCUCCAAGGCUAAAUACUCCUGACUGACCGAUAGUGAACCAGUACCGUGAGGGAAAGGCGAAAAGAACCCCGGCGAGGGGAGUGAAAAAGAACCUGAAACCGUGUACGUACAAGCAGUGGGAGCCCCACCACUAAGCCAGUGGUGAACUCCACAUCCGCAUCCUUUGCUGAGGAUACGGUUAACGGAGCGAAAGCGACGUUCAACCGCAAAACAAGCAGAGGGGGCUUAGUGGUGGGGUGACUGCGUACCUUUUGUAUAAUGGGUCAGCGACUUAUAUUCUGUAGCAAGGUUAACCGUAUAGGGGAGCCGGAGGGAAACCGAGUCUUAAUUGGGCGUUAAGUUGCAGGGUAUAGACCCGAAACCCGGUGAUCUAGCCAUGGGCAGGUUGAAGGUUGGGUAACACUAACUGGAGGACCGAACCGACUAAUGUUGAAAAAUUAGCGGAUGACCUGUGGCUGGGGGUGAAAGGCCAAUCAAACCGGGAGAUAGCUGGUUCUCCCCGAAAGCUAUUUAGGUAGCGCCUCGUGAAUUCAUCUCCGGGGGUAGAGCACUGUUUCGGCUAGGGGGCCAUCCCGGCUUACCAACCCGAUGCAAACUGCGAAUACCGGAGAAUGUUAUCACGGGAGACACACGGCGGGUGCUAACGUCCGUCGUGAAGAGGGAAACAACCCAGACCGCCAGCUAAGGUCCCAAAGUCAUGGUUAAGUGGGAAACGAUGUGGGAAGGCCCAGACAGCCAGGAUGUUGGCUUAGAAGCAGCCAUCAUUUAAAGAAAGCGUAAUAGCUCACUGGUCGAGUCGGCCUGCGCGGAAGAUGUAACGGGGCUAAACCAUGCACCGAAGCUGCGGCAGCGACGCUGAUGCGUUGUUGGGUAGGGGAGCGUUCUGUAAGCCUGCGAAGGUGACCUGUGAGGGUUGCUGGAGGUAUCAGAAGUGCGAAUGCUGACAUAAGUAACGAUAAAGCGGGUGAAAAGCCCGCUCGCCGGAAGACCAAGGGUUCCUGUCCAACGUUAAUCGGGGCAGGGUGAGUCGACCCCUAAGGCGAGGCCGAAAGGCGUAGUCGAUGGGAAACGGGUUAAUAUUCCCGUACUUGGUGUUACUGCGAAGGGGGGACGGAGAAGGCUAUGUUGGCCGGGCGACGGUUGUCCCGGUUUAAGCGUGUAGGUGUGUGUUCCAGGUAAAUCCGGUUCACUUUAACACUGAGGCGUGACGACGAGGCACUACGGUGCUGAAGCAACAAAUGCCCUGCUUCCAGGAAAAGCCUCUAAGCAUCAGGUAACAUCAAAUCGUACCCCAAACCGACACAGGUGGUCAGGUAGAGAAUACCAAGGCGCUUGAGAGAACUCGGGUGAAGGAACUAGGCAAAAUGGUGCCGUAACUUCGGGAGAAGGCACGCUGACACGUAGGUGAAGUGAUUUACUCAUGGAGCUGAAGUCAGUCGAAGAUACCAGCUGGCUGCAACUGUUUAUUAAAAACACAGCACUGUGCAAACACGAAAGUGGACGUAUACGGUGUGACGCCUGCCCGGUGCCGGAAGGUUAAUUGAUGGGGUCAGCGCAAGCGAAGCUCCUGAUCGAAGCCCCGGUAAACGGCGGCCGUAACUAUAACGGUCCUAAGGUAGCGAAAUUCCUUGUCGGGUAAGUUCCGACCUGCACGAAUGGCGUAAUGAUGGCCAGGCUGUCUCCACCCGAGACUCAGUGAAAUUGAACUCGCUGUGAAGAUGCAGUGUACCCGCGGCAAGACGGAAAGACCCCGUGAACCUUUACUAUAGCUUGACACUGAACAUUGAGCCUUGAUGUGUAGGAUAGGUGGGAGGCUUUGAAGUGUGGACGCCAGUCUGCAUGGAGCCGACCUUGAAAUACCACCCUUUAAUGUUUGAUGUUCUAACGUGGACCCGUAAUCCGGGUUGCGGACAGUGUCUGGUGGGUAGUUUGACUGGGGCGGUCUCCUCCUAAAGAGUAACGGAGGAGCACGAAGGUUGGCUAAUCCUGGUCGGACAUCAGGAGGUUAGUGCAAUGGCAUAAGCCAGCUUGACUGCGAGCGUGACGGCGCGAGCAGGUGCGAAAGCAGGUCAUAGUGAUCCGGUGGUUCUGAAUGGAAGGGCCAUCGCUCAACGGAUAAAAGGUACUCCGGGGAUAACAGGCUGAUACCGCCCAAGAGUUCAUAUCGACGGCGGUGUUUGGCACCUCGAUGUCGGCUCAUCACAUCCUGGGGCUGAAGUAGGUCCCAAGGGUAUGGCUGUUCGCCAUUUAAAGUGGUACGCGAGCUGGGUUUAGAACGUCGUGAGACAGUUCGGUCCCUAUCUGCCGUGGGCGCUGGAGAACUGAGGGGGGCUGCUCCUAGUACGAGAGGACCGGAGUGGACGCAUCACUGGUGUUCGGGUUGUCAUGCCAAUGGCACUGCCCGGUAGCUAAAUGCGGAAGAGAUAAGUGCUGAAAGCAUCUAAGCACGAAACUUGCCCCGAGAUGAGUUCUCCCUGAGACUUUAGGUCUCCUGAAGGAACGUUGAAGACGACGACGUUGAUAGGCCGGGUGUGUAAGCGCAGCGAUGCGUUGAGCUAACCGGUACUAAUGAACCGUGAGGCUUAACCUU